GAUGAAGAACGCAGCGAAACGCGAUAAGUAAUGUGAAUUGCAGAAUCCAGUGAUUCAUCGAAUCUUUGAACGCACAUUGCGCCCGCCAGCAUUCUGGCGGGCAUGCCUGUUCGAGCGUCAUUUCAACCCUCGACCUCCCCUUGGGGAGGUCGGCGUUGGGGACCGGCAGCACACCGCCGGCCCUGAAAUGGAGUGGCGGCCCGUCCGCGGCGACCUCUGCGCAGUAAUACAGCUCGCACCGGGACCCCGACGCGGCCACGCCGUAAAACACCCAACUUCUGAACGUUGACCUCGAAUCAGGUAGGACUACCCGCUGAACUUAAGCAUAUCAAUAAGCGGAGGA
rnacentral:misc_RNA from 1 species